rnacentral:rRNA from 1 species
GACGAACGCUGGCGGCGCGCCUAACACAUGCAAGUCGAACGGAGCUGAGAGAAGCUUGCUUUUCUUAGCUUAGUGGCGAACGGGUGAGUAACGCGUGAGUAACCUGCCCUGGAGUGGGGGACAACAGUUGGAAACGACCGCUAAUACCGCAUAAGCCCACGAUCCGGCAUCGGAUUGAGGGAAAAGGAUUUAUUCGCUUCAGGAUGGACUCGCGUCCAAUUAGCUAGUUGGUGAGGUAACGGCCCACCAAGGCGACGAUUGGUAGCCGGACUGAGAGGUUGAACGGCCACAUUGGGACUGAGACACGGCCCAGACUCCUACGGGAGGCAGCAGUGGGGGAUAUUGCACAAUGGGGGAAACCCUGAUGCAGCGACGCCGCGUGGAGGAAGAAGGUUUUCGGAUUGUAAACUCCUGUCGUUAGGGACGAUAAUGACGGUACCUAACAAGAAAGCACCGGCUAACUACGUG